UACGUAGGAGGCGAGCGUUAUCCGGAUUCACUGGGCGUAAAGCGUGUGCAGGCGGUUUGGUUAGUUGGAUGUGAAAGCUCCUGGCUCAACUGGGAGAGGUCGUUCAAUACUGCCAGACUAGAGGACGGUAGAGGAGAGUGGAAUUCCCGGUGUAGUGGUGAAAUGCGUAGAGAUCCGGAAGAACACCGGUGGCGAAGGCGGCCCGCUGGGCUGUGGCUGACGCUGAGGCGCGACAGCGUGGGGAGCAAACAGG
rnacentral:rRNA from 1 species